GGAAGGGUCAUGUAGCCAGAGCGAAGGGAGUUGUUAUGGACUGAAUUGUGUCUCCCCAGACUUCAUAUGUUAAAGCCCUAACCCCCAAUGUGACUGGAUUUGGAGACAGGGCCUUUAAAGGAGAGAAAAGGCCAUGUGGAGACACGAUGAAAAGCCCCCUCUGCAAGCUGAGGAGAGAGGCCUCACCAGAACCGGACCAUGCAGGUGCCUCGAUCCUGGACUUCCAGCCUCCAGAACUGUGAGAAAAUGAAUUUCUGUUGUUUAAUCCAUCCAGCUUACGGCAUUUUGUUAUGGCAGCCCCAGCAGGAGUGGUUUCCCAGAAGGUGCUGGUUGAGGGCAUGGAGACUACCAACACAGUGAAUUAGUUCUGGGAGUACCGCUGUGAGCCAGAUAACACCUACUCCAUCCCCCA
rnacentral:lncRNA from 1 species